UACGUAGGGGUCGAGCGUUGUCCGGAGUUACUGGGCGUAAAGAGCGCGCAGGCGGCUGGUCAAGUCCGAUGUGAAAGCUCCCGGCUUAACUGGGAAAUUGCAUCGGAAACUGAUCGGCUUGAAGGUGGGAGAGGGUAGUGGAAUUCCCGGUGUAGUGGUGAAAUGCGUAGAUAUUAGGAAGAACACCAGUGGCGAAGGCGGCUCACUGGUCCGGUACUGACGCUGAGGUGCGAAAGCGUGGGGAGCAACAGGG
rnacentral:rRNA from 1 species